rnacentral:rRNA from 1 species
UACGUAGGGUGCAAGCGUUGUCCGGAAUUACUGGGCGUAAAGAGCUCGUAGGUGGUUUGUCGCGUCGUCUGUGAAAUUCCGGGGCUUAACUCCGGGCGUGCAGGCGAUACGGGCAUAACUUGAGUGCUGUAGGGGAGACUGGAAUUCCUGGUGUAGCGGUGAAAUGCGCAGAUAUCAGGAGGAACACCGAUGGCGAAGGCAGGUCUCUGGGCAGUAACUGACGCUGAGGAGCGAAAGCAUGGGUAGCGAA